rnacentral:rRNA from 1 species
UACGUAGGGUGCAAGCGUUGUCCGGAAUUAUUGGGCGUAAAGGGCUCGUAGGCGGUUUGUCGCGUCGGGAGUGAAAACUCAGGGCUUAACCCUGAGCCUGCUUCCGAUACGGGCAGACUAGAGGUAUGCAGGGGAGAACGGAAUUCCUGGUGUAGCGGUGAAAUGCGCAGAUAUCAGGAGGAACACCGGUGGCGAAGGCGGCAUCCUGGACCGGUAUUGACGCUGAGGCGCGAAAGCUAGGGGAGCAAACAGG